rnacentral:rRNA from 1 species
AUUGAACGCUGGCGGCAUGCCUUACACAUGCAAGUCGAACGGCAGCACGGGUGCUUGCACCUGGUGGCGAGUGGCGAACGGGUGAGUAAUACAUCGGAACAUGUCCUGUAGUGGGGGAUAGCCCGGCGAAAGCCGGAUUAAUACCGCAUACGAUCUACGGAUGAAAGCGGGGGACCUUCGGGCCUCGCGCUAUAGGGUUGGCCGAUGGCUGAUUAGCUAGUUGGUGGGGUAAGGCCUACCAAGGCGACGAUCAGUAGCUGGUCUGAGAGGACGACCAGCCACACUGGGACUGAGACACGGCCCAGACUCCUACGGGAGGCAGCAGUGGGGAAUUUUGGACAAUGGGCGAAAGCCUGAUCCAGCAAUGCCGCGUGUGUGAAGAAGGCCUUCGGGUUGUAAAGCACUUUUGUCCGGAAAGAAAUACUUGGCCCUAAUACGGUCGGGGGAUGACGGUACCGGAAGAAUAAGCCCCGGCUAACUACGUG